rnacentral:rRNA from 1 species
AACCUGGUUGAUCCUGCCAGUAGUCAUAUGCUUGUCUCAAAGAUUAAGCCAUGCAUGUCUCAGUACAGGCCGACCUAAGGCGAAACCGCGAAUGGCUCAUUAAAUCAGUCAUGAUUCAUUGGAUGUAGUAAAAAUCCAAUUUUUACUCGGAUAACUGUGGUAAUUCUAGAGCUAAUACAGGCGAUCGAGCUCCGACCCCGGCCGGCGUGUCCAGCGCCCGUUGGCCGACCUCCCAACCCGUCGCCCUUCGCGGCGCGGGCGGACGGACCCGGCGGCGGGUUUAGCGGCGUCGGUGCCAUUGGGGGAAGGGCGCUUUUAUUAGAUCAAAGACUGACUUCCGGGCUUCGGUCCGGACGCUUAAAAAAAGGUCGAUGAUGACUCUGAAUAACCUAGCCGAGCGCUGCGGUCCUAGUACCGGCGCCGUAUCCUUCGAGUGUCUGCCUUAUCAGCUUUCGAUUGUAGGUUAAACGCCUACAAUGGCUGUAACGGGUAACGGGGAAUCAGGGUUCGAUUCCGGAGAGGGAGCCUGAGAAACGGCUACCACAUCUAAGGAAGGCAGCAGGCACGCAAAUUACCCACUCCCGGCACGGGGAGGUAGUGACGAAAAAUAACGAUGCGGGACUCUUCCGAGGCCUCGCAAUCGGAAUGAGUUCACUUUAAAUCCUUGCAACGAGGAUCCAUUGGAGGGCAAGUCUGGUGCCAGCAGCCGCGGUAAUUCCAGCUCCAAUAGCGUAUAUUAAUGUUGCUGCGGUUAAAAAGCUCGUAGUUUGACUUCCUGUUCGGGGCGGGCAGCAGUUUCGGCCCCGCGCGGGUCGAGCUCUCCCGUUCGCCGACGGGGAGCGCGGAGGGCCCUUUUUUUAAUGGUCGCCCGCGUCGCAUUUUACGGUGCGCGCGUUUUCGUCGCCCCCGGGUCCCCGUGUCCUUUCCCCGCGCUUUAACGGCGGGGAUGUGCGCGGUGGAUGCGAGGAGCGCGGCGCGAGGCAAAGAUGAGAGAGUUUCGUUUUCGAACGUCGUUCGGAGGACGCGUUCGGGACGGACCGCGGCAGCAGCACUAACUAGUCGCGGCGGCGUCGAAGAGUUACUUAGUUAGCUAGCUAGCUACUAGCGAGCGAGCGAGCGAGCGAGCGAGAGUCGGGCCAAAAAGGCUUCCGCGGUCGCGGGCGCGCACGAGCGAGUAUCGGGUGGGUUCCCCAUUCGGUACGUCGUCAUCGUUGUGGCGUUCGGACGCGGGAGUUCCUUUCCGUCGUCUCCUCCUCCUCCUCCAUAGUACUACUGCUACUACUAGCUCGUCAAAAUCCGUCGUCGUCGACUCUGUGUGUGUGUGUGUGUGUCGCGGCCGAACCACCCCGCAACGCUUACUUCGGCCGCGGCGUGUCGAGCGAUAUCUCUCUCAAAAAUAAAACCUCGCCCGCGUUUUCCCCUUCCACCGAGGAGCUCCCCCUCCUAGCGGGUUUCGGAACGGGUGAGCCCGUCGGGGAAUCACGGCGGCCGCGUACGCGCGGCGCGUAAGCGACAUUUUAAAAAGCCUCCGGUCUUUGCUCCUCCCGGCGAAUCAUGGCGGGAGUUUAAAAGCGACGAUUUCCGUCGCGGGUGUCGAACGACCUCCCGUACCCGGAUUCUUUUAAACCCGCCGACGCUCACGGGGUGCUCUUCACCGGGUGCCCCGCGUGGUCGGCAAUUACACUUUGAAAAAAUUAGAGUGCUCAAAGCAGGCUUCUAAACGAAAAUGCCUGAAUGGUGGUGCAUGGCAUGUUAGAACAGGACCUCGGUUCCAAAGCUUUCUUGCGGUCGGUCUUUCGGGACACCGAGGUAAUGAUUAAUGGAAGCGGUCGGGGGCAUUAGUAUUGCGGCGCUAGAGGUGAAAUUCUUGGACCGUCGCAAGACUGACUACAGCGAAAGCAUUUGCCAAGUACGCUUUCAUUAAUCAAGAACGAAAGUUAGAGGAUCGAAGGCGAUCAGAUACCGCCCUAGUUCUAACCGUAAACGAUGCUAACUGGCGAUCCGCCGGAGUCAAUCCCACGACUCGGCGGGGAGCCCCCGGGAAACCGAAGUUUUCGAGUUCCGGGGGAAGUAUGGUUGCAAAGCUGAAACUUAAAGGAAUUGACGGAAGGGCACCACCAGGAGUGGAGCCUGCGGCUUAAUUUGACUCAACACGGGGAACCUCACCAGGUCCGGGCACCGGAAGGAUUGACAGAUUGAGAGCUCUUUCUCGAUUCGGUGGAUGGUGGCGCAUGGCCGUUCUUAGUUGGUGGAGCGAUCUGUCUGGUUUAUUCCGAUAACGAACGAGACUCUGCCCUAUUAACUAGUCGGCGGAUCCUAUCCCCGCGUUUACCUUCGUCCGUCCUCGGGGGUAUGAACGGAGGUCAACGGCGCGGUACGCUUCCGCGGGGCCGUCGUUGUCGCGCGAGCGCUCGUACGUCGGUCCGGAGCGCGUCGGUGGCUCGUCGUCGUCGUCGUUGUCGUUGCCGCCGGUCCUGCUCGUCGUUGUCGUCGUAUGGCGGCUGCGGCGGGUCGGGGUCGGUUGUUGCGGCUGCGACGGCGGCGGCGGGUGCCGGCGUUCAACUCCGGGUUCGGCUCGCUCCGCGGCGCGAGGUCUCGUUCCGGGGCUUCCGCGUCGCUCCAUCCUCGAUGGGCGGGCGGGGCCGGGGACGUCCGUCGCAACUUCUUCUUAGAGGGAUAAACGGCAUACAGCCGAACGAGAUAGAGCAAUAACAGGUCUGUGAUGCCCUUAGAUGUUCUGGGCCGCACGCGCGCUACAAUGAAGGGCUCAGCGCGCUUUCCCCCUCCGAGAGGAGCGGGUAACCGAAUGAAAUUCCUUCCCGAUUGGGAUUGGGAUUUGCAAGUGUUUCCCAUGAACGAGGAAUUCCCAGUAAGCGCGAGUCAUUAGCUCGCGUUGAUUACGUCCCUGCCCUUUGUACACACCGCCCGUCGCUACUACCGAUUGAAUGAUUCAGUGAGGGCAUCGGACUGGCGCCCUCGGUAUAUGACCCCCGUCGCGUUCGUCCGCGUAAUCUUCGGGACCGCGGCGAAGCUUCGGUCUAGGUCGCCCUCGGGCUGACGGAAAGAUGUCCGAACUCGAUCAUUUAGAGGAAGUAAAAGUCGUAACAAGGUUUCCGUAGGUGAACUGCGGAAGGAUCA